rnacentral:rRNA from 1 species
AUUGAGCGCUGGCGGAAUGCUUUACACAUGCAAGUCGAACGGUAGAGGGGGCAACCCCUCGAGAGUGGCGAACGGGUGAGUAAUAUAUCGGAACGUGCCCAGUCGUGGGGGAUAACGUAGCGAAAGUUACGCUAAUACCGCAUACGAUCCAAGGAUGAAAGCGGGGGAUCGCAAGACCUCGCGCGAUUGGAGCGGCCGAUAUCAGAUUAGGUAGUUGGUGGGGUAAAGGCCCACCAAGCCAACGAUCUGUAGCUGGUCUGAGAGGACGACCAGCCACACUGGAACUGAGACACGGUCCAGACUCCUACGGGAGGCAGCAGUGGGGAAUUUUGGACAAUGGGCGCAAGCCUGAUCCAGCCAUUCCGCGUGCAGGAUGAAGGCCCUCGGGUUGUAAACUGCUUUUGUACGGAACGAAAAGGUCUCUCUUAAUACGGGGGGCUCAUGACGGUACCGUAAGAAUAAGCACCGGCUAACUACGUGCCAGCCGCCGCCGUAA